GAUGAACGCUGGCGGCGUGCUUAACACAUGCAAGUCGAACGGAAAGGCCCAAGCUUGCUUGGGUACUCGAGUGGCGAACGGGUGAGUAACACGUGGGUGAUCUGCCCUGCACUUCGGGAUAAGCCUGGGAAACUGGGUCUAAUACCGGAUAGGACGAUGGUUUGGAUGCCAUUGUGGAAAGUUUUUUCGGUGUGGGAUGAGCUCGCGGCCUAUCAGCUUGUUGGUGGGGUAAUGGCCUACCAAGGCGUCGACGGGUAGCCGGCCUGCGAGGGUGUACGGCCACAUUGGGACUGAGAUACGGCCCAGACUACUACGGGAGGCAGCAGGGGGGAAUAUUGCACAAUGGGCGCAAGCCUGAUGCAGCGACGCCGCGUGGGGGAUGACGGCCUUCGGGUUGUAAACUCCUUUCGCUAGGGACGAAGCGUUUUUGUGACGGUACCUGGAGAAGAAGCACCGGCUAACUACGUG
rnacentral:rRNA from 1 species